rnacentral:rRNA from 1 species
UCGGGGGAGAGAUGAUGGGAUAGCCACUGGAAAUGGGGGGGUAAACUGUAAAAUCGUUGAGGGGGAGAGAAAUAUCGCUAUUAGAUGAGCCUAUGUUAGAUUAGCUAGUUGGUAGGGUAAAGGCCUACCAAGGCAGUGAUCUAUAGCUGGUCUGAGAGGAUGAUCAGCCACACUGGAACUGAGAUACGGUCCAGACUCCUACGGGAGGCAGCAGUGGGGAAUAUUGGACAAUGGGCGCAAGCCUGAUCCAGCUAUGCCGCGUGAGUGAGGAAGGCCUUAGGGUUGUAAAACUCUUUCAGUGGGGAAGAUAAUGACGGUACCCACAGAAGAAGUCCCGGCAAACUCCGUGCCAGCAGCCGCGGUAAUACGGAGGGGGCAAGCGUUGUUCGGAAUUAUUGGGCGUAAAGGGCAUGUAGGCGGUUCGGUAAGUUAAAGGUGAAAUGCCAGGGCUUAACCCUGGAGCUGCUUUUAAUACUGCCAGACUCGAGUCCGGGAGAGGAUAGCGGAAUUCCUAGUGUAGAGGUGAAAUUCGUAGAUAUUAGGAGGAACACCAGUGGCGAAGGCGGCUAUCUGGUCCGGUACUGACGCUUAGGUGCGAAAGCGUGGGGAGCAAACAGGAUUAGAUACCCUGGUAGUCCACGCUGUAAACGAUGAGUGCUGAAUGUGGGGACGUUUUGUCUCUGUGUUGUAGCUAACGCGUUAAGCACUCCGCCUG